GUUUGGAGCAAGCCAACUAGAAAAUCUUCCAUUAGUCUGAUCUGAGGAAAACAGGUUGUGCUUUGGAUCCAUCACUAAUUAAUUGCUCAAUAGCCCUUCUUUGUAUGGGCAGAUACAGACACCUUGAAAGAAUGACAAUUAUUGUGCUGGCCAGCUAGGUAGCUUGUGAUCAUGGAAGAGAAUGACCCCCUGGCAAGACAUGAAUCUGCAGCUGCAAGGGCCAAAUAUGUGGAAGUUACAUACACAAACCAUCCACCACUUAAUGUCUGCAUGAUUUUAGUGUCUGGGAUGUAUCUUAGUAAAACAACACAAAAGACACAGGCAUUUUUUGAUGCAUGAAUGUUGAGAGUUUUGAUGGGCCCACUUGAUUGCCCAGUGUGUGACCAGUACUUGUUAGUCUUAUCAAGAUUAAGAGAACAUGUUCCCACCAGUGGCAAAAGGCUGAUAACAUCUAGGAAGUUUGCCUGUGUCUUGUUGAUCUCGGAAGUAAACUUAUUUG
rnacentral:lncRNA from 1 species